GACGAACGCUGGCGGCGUGCUUAACACAUGCAAGUCGAACGGAAAGGCCCUGCUUUUGUGGGGUGCUCGAGUGGCGAACGGGUGAGUAACACGUGAGUAACCUGCCCUUGACUUUGGGAUAACUUCAGGAAACUGGGGCUAAUACCGGAUAGGAGCUCCUGCUGCAUGGUGGGGGUUGGAAAGUUUCGGCGGUUGGGGAUGGACUCGCGGCUUAUCAGCUUGUUGGUGGGGUAGUGGCUUACCAAGGCUUUGACGGGUAGCCGGCCUGAGAGGGUGACCGGCAAAAUGGGGAAGGGGAAAGGGCCCAAACCCCAAGGGGGGGGAGGGGGGGGGAAAUUUGAAAAAGGGGGGGAAGCCGGAGGAAGAAAACCGGGGGGGGGGAGGAGGGCCUUGGGGUUGAAAACCGCUUUGGCCGGGGACGAAGGGGGGGGGAGGGGAAGGGGUAAAGAAGCACCGGCUAAAUAAGG
rnacentral:rRNA from 1 species